rnacentral:rRNA from 1 species
GACGACCGCUGGCGGCGUGCUUAACACAUGCAAGUCGAACGGAAAGGCCCUGCUUUUGUGGGGUGCUCGAGUGGCGAACGGGUGAGUAACACGUGAGUAACCUGCCCUUGACUUUGGGAUAACUUCAGGAAACUGGGGCUAAUACCGGAUAGGAGCUCCUGCUGCAUGGUGGGGGUUGGAAAGUUUCGGCGGUUGGGGAUGGACUCGCGGCUUAUCAGCUUGUUGGUGGGGUAGUGGCUUACCAAGGCUUUGACGGGUAGCCGGCCUGAGAGAGUGACCGGCCACAUUGGGACUGAGAUACGGCCCAGACUCCUACGGGAGGCAGCAGUGGGGAAUAUUGCACAAUGGGCGGAAGCCUGAUGCAGCAACGCCGCGUGCGGGAUGACGGCCUUCGGGUUGUAAACCGCUUUCGCCUGUGACGAAGCGUGAGUGACGGUAAUGGGUAAAGAAGCACCGGCUAACUACGUG